UACGUAGGGGGCUAGCGUUGUCCGGAUUUAUUGGGCGUAAAGAGCGUGUAGGCGGCUAGGUAGGUCUGCUGUGAAAACUCGAGGCUCAACCUCGAGACGUCGGCGGAAACCAUCUGGCUAGAGUCCGGAAGAGGAGAGUGGAAUUCCUGGUGUAGCGGUGAAAUGCGCAGAUAUCAGGAAGAACACCCGUGGCGAAGGCGGCUCUCUGGGACGGUACUGACGCUGAGACGCGAAAGCGUGGGGAGCAAACAGG
rnacentral:rRNA from 1 species